AGCCAUGCGAGUCAUUGUAGCAAUACAAGGCAGACGGCUCAGUAACGCGUAGUCAACCUAACCUAUGGACGGGAAUAACCUCGGGAAACUGAGAAUAAUGCCCGAUAGAACACUAUGCCUGGAAUGGUUUGUGUUCCAAAUGAUUUAUCGUCGUAGGAUGGGACUGCGGCCUAUCAGUUUGUUGGUGAGGUAAUGGCCCACCAAGACUAUUACAGGUACGGGCUCUGAGAGGAGUAGCCCGGAGAUGGGUACUGAGACACGGACCCAGGCCCUAUGGGGCGCAGCAGGCGAGAAAACUUUGCAAUGUGCGAAAGCACGACAAGGUUAAUCCGAGUGGUUUCUGCUAAAGGAACCUUUUGUCGGUCCUAGAAACACCGAUGAAUAAGGGGUGGGCAAGCUCUGGUGUCAGCCGCCGCGGUAAAACCAGCACCUCAAGUGGUCAGGAUGAUUAUUGGGCCUAAAGCAUCCGUAGCCUGCUUUGUUAGUUUUCGGUUAAAUCUAUACGCUCAACGUAUAGGCUGCCGGGAAUACUGCAAAGCUAGGGAGUGGGAGAGGUAGACGGUACUCGGUAGGAAGGGGUAAAAUCCUUUGAUCUAUUGAUGACCACCUGUGGCGAAGGCGGUCUACCAGAACACGUCCGACGGUGAGGGAUGAAAGCUGGGGGAGCAAACCGGAUUAGAUACCCGGGUAGUCCCAGCCGUAAACCAUGCAAACUCAGUGAUGCAUUGGCUUGUGGCCAAUGCAGUGCUGCAGGGAAGCCGUUAAGUUUGCCGCCUGGGAAGUACGUACGCAAGUAUGAAACUUAAAGGAAUUGGCGGGGGAGCACCACAAGGGGUG
rnacentral:rRNA from 1 species